rnacentral:rRNA from 1 species
UACGGAGGGUGCGAGCGUUAAUCGGAAUUACUGGGCGUAAAGCGUGCGCAGGCGGUUCGUUGUGUCGGCGGUGAAAGCCCCGGGCUUAACCUGGGAAUGGCCGUCGAAACUGGCGAACUGGAGUGUGGCAGAGGGGGGUGGAAUUCCGCGUGUAGCAGUGAAAUGCGUAGAGAUGCGGAGGAACACCGAUGGCGAAGGCAGCCCCCUGGGCUGACACUGACGCCUCAGGCACGAAAGCGUGAGGAGCAAACAGG